rnacentral:rRNA from 1 species
GAUGAACGCUAGCUACAGGCUUAAACACAUGCAAGUCGAGGGGAAACGACAUCGAAAGCUUGCUUUUGAUGGGCGUCGACCGGCGCACGGGUGAGUAACGCGUAUCCAACCUGCCCACCACUUGGGGAUAACCUUGCGAAAGUAAGACUAAUACCCAAUGAUAUCCCACGAAGGCAUCCGAAUGGGAUUAAAGAUUUAUCGGUGAUGGAUGGGGAUGCGUCUGAUUAGCUUGUUGGCGGGGUAACGGCCCACCAAGGCAACGAUCAGUAGGGGUUCUGAGAGGAAGGUCCCCCACACUGGAACUGAGACACGGUCCAGACUCCUACGGGAGGCAGCAGUGAGGAAUAUUGGUCAAUGGGCGCAGGCCUGAACCAGCCAAGUCGCGUGAGGGAGGACGGUCCUACGGAUUGUAAACCUCUUUUGUCGGGGAGUAACGUGCGGGACGCGUCCCGUAUUGAGAGUACCCGAAGAAAAAGCAUCGGCUAACUCCGUG